UACGUAGGGCGCAAGCGUUAUCCGGAAUUAUUGGGCGUAAGGAGCUCGUAGGCGGUUUGUCGCGUCUGCUGUGAAAGACCGGGGCUCAACUCCGGUUCUGCAGUGGGUACGGGCAGACUAGAGUGCAGUAGGGGAGACUGGAAUUCCUGGUGUAGCGGUGAAAUGCGCAGAUAUCAGGAGGAACACCGAUGGCGAAGGCAGGUCUCUGGGCUGUAACUGACGCUGAGGAGCGAAAGCAUGGGGAGCGAACAGG
rnacentral:rRNA from 1 species